CUAGGAAAUUAUAAAUAAAAUAAAAUAAUAAUAAUUUAAGUCAAUUUUUGUCAGCAAAAUUUCCUUUCUUUCUAUUUUGGUUGUGUGAGGGUUUCUUUCUUUUGUGAGCAAAGAGAGGGUUUCUCAAAGUUACCAAUAUCAGUUUUGUCGUAAUUAUUCUUGAAGCUCUCCUAUUGGAGAGAAGAAUUUGGGGGAAAAGGGGGAAGAGAUCAUGGUCUUUAACAGAGAUGAAUUGGCUUUAUUUAUGCUAAUCUCUUGUAAAUUCCUCGAAAUCAAAGGGAUUUUUUUAAUCUGUAUCAUCAAUUAGUUGGCUAUAUUUUUGGACUGUUUUAGGGUUAUUUAUCUGUAGGAUUGGAAGACUGAAAGAUACAAGGAAAUUAUCAAGUCUGGAACUGUAAGUAGGAAUUUAUUUGCUCUUCAUUUGUGAUUACUUGUUAGUUCAUCUAUGUGGGUGAUUAUUCUGGAUGAAUGAUUUCCAAGAAAAUGGAUUUGUCUUGUUAAUGGGCAAGUGGAGCCCAGACCUGGAGUUUGAGAUUGAUGGAUGGGGCCAAGGCUGCUGUAAGAUAGACAUUUUACCUUAUAAAUGCAAUUGUCACUUUGUCAUGGCUCUUAAGUUUUCAUUGUAUUUGCAUAUGUUAUCCACAGUUAAUUAGGGAAGACUACUUUUCUUGCCAAAGUUUAGUCAAAUUCCAUGUUCUCUUUCUUACAUGAAGAAUCAAAUUUGAAUUAACCUUUUUGGCUGACGAUUAUAGGGUAAAUAAUUAGCAGUCUGCUCUGCUGCAACUAAAAAAGUUAUUUAUCAAUCCUCAAGCUUUUUUUUUUUUUUUUUGGUCUAUCAAAUUUAAAUUUGAUGAAAAAUUGCUCAAAAUCCAUCUCCAACCUUUUCAUAAAAUGCUUAUCAAAUCAAGGGACAAACACUUUUUUCAUCGCAUUGAGUGAAGCAUUUGGAAUAUUCUCUAUAUUGAGUGAAGCAUUACCAAAUUUCAUCAACAUGAGCAAUAGGCAAGCAAAGUUCUCCUGAACUAGGUGCUUUGGCUUAUGCUCCCAUUUAGGUAUUAUUCUCCUGAACCAGGUGCUAGUGGCAGAAAUAAGGUCAAGAGACAUGUGCAUAUAUUUAGUUCUUAUAAGAAGGUAAAGCUCUUACAACAAGUGAUAAACAUGUAUUAAGGUAGGCUGAUGUACACCAUAACUCAUGACAAUGCUUAAUUUGGUAGGUUUAUGAUUUGUUUGACUAGAGUGUUUACAUAUAUUUCAAUGUGCGGUAUUUUAUUUGAGUUUUUUUUAUUUUCUGAAAUUUUUAGCUCAUAUAAGAAGGUAAAGUUCUUGUAAGUGAACAAACAUGUAUCAAGGUAGGCUGAUGUACAACAUAAAUUGAGUAUUUACAUAUAUUUCAAAUGUGUCAUAUGUGACUUGAGCUUUUAAUUUUCUGAAAGUCGAGCAUUCAUGCUAUAUUAGUUCUAGGUGCUUUAACUUUCUAAUAAUUUAAUCUCAUUAUGUGAGUGUAUAAUCUAGGUGUCUAUAUUUAUAUGCAUGUAGGUUAGUGUCAUUGCCUUUUUAAUUUUGGGCCGCGAUAUGACCCUUCAUAGUUCAUGGGGAUGCUCUGAACUUAUAGAUUCUUUAGCUAAAGCUUAUUUGUGGUUCUCAUUUUUCUCUUCCUUUUUGAUUUCAGUAAUUUGUGUUUGUCAUGUGUUCUAGUUUUUGCAACUAACUUCUGCAGCUUGUUGGGUCGUGUGCUGCUAUUUGUUACAUGGCAAUUUGGGUUGGAUACACAGACGUGCACUUAAUCUUUGGUGUUUCUACGACCUUAGAGCAUGUGCAGCUCAGCAGGGAGAGCUGAAUAAUCAGUUGAAGCAGUAGCUCUGGAAGAUCUAGGAGAAACAAAAUUCCAAGAAGGAAAUUGAAUAGCUUGAGUUGAUGUCUUGUUUUUACAAGCGUCAGUUCGCCAAGAGCAUUCACUAGCAUACCUAAUAAACCAGAGAGGAGGUAAUAAUUGUAACACAACACUCU